CUAAGGUGGCAGCCAUCUUCCACCUGGCAUCAUGGCUGCCCUCAGACCCUUGGUGAAAUCCAAGAUUGUCAAAAAGAGGAUCAAGAAGUUCAUCCGGCACCAGUCAGACUGUUAUGUCAAGAUUAAGCGUAACUGGUGGAAGCCCAGAGGUAUUGACAACAGGGUGUGCAGAAGAUUCAAGGGCCAGAUCUUGAUGCCCAACAUUGGUUACAGGAGCAACAAGAAAACAAAACACAAGCUGCUGAGUGGCUUCUGGAAGUUCCUGGUCCACAAUGUCAAGGAGCUGGAAGUGCUGCUGAUGUGCAACAAAUCU